AUCAUGAGGGUUUAGCAAAGUGUUGCUAACAGAGUUUAUUGGCAUUCUGUCCACCUCCACUUCCUACUCUCUCUCUCUCUCUCUCUACCCAUGAAUAUGGAGGUGGGCAUACUGUCAACUGAGCUCUGUUGGCUACACUUUGUAAAGCCUUCAUGAU
rnacentral:pre_miRNA from 1 species